GAAGAACCUUACCAGGUCUUGACAUCCUCUGACAAUCUGAGAGAUCAGACUUUCCCUUCGGGGACAGAGAGACAGGUGGUGCAUGGUUGUCGUCAGCUCGUGUCGUGAGAUGUUGGGUUAAGUCCCGCAACGAGCGCAACCCCUGUGGUUAGUUGCCAUCAUUUAGUUGGGCACUCUAAGCAGACUGCCGUGGAUAACACGGAGGAAGGUGGGGACGACGUCAAAUCAUCAUGCCCCUUAUGACCUGGGCUACACACGUGCUACAAUGGUCUGAACAGAGGGCUGCGAAACCGCGAGGUGAAGCUAAUCCCUUAAAACAGAUCUCAGUUCGGAUUGCAGGCUGCAACUCGCCUGCAUGAAGUUGGAGUUGCUAGUAAUCGCAGAUCAGAAUGCUGCGGUGAAUGCGUUCCCGGGUCUU
rnacentral:rRNA from 1 species